UGAGCAUUUAACAGCCCCCACUGUGGAUAUGAAAGGCUAAUAUUAGUAUUCUUGUCUACACAUUUGUUUGUCUGUGCAACAGAGAUUCUACAGUGAAAGUUAAGGGAAAAAACAACAAAACAAUGAGCAUACUAAAAGUAUCUUCUCCAUAGAGUGAAAGCAUUGUAAAACUACAGAACCUUUCAAUUUACGAGAAAAUGAACAACCCUGGGGUUGAAAUUGGAAAGUCGCAUCAGAAAUGUCACAAAGGGGGUCAUUUUCCUGUAAUACAUCACAUUUUUGUUUAGACUGAGUGUGAUAAAGAGAGCAAGA